rnacentral:rRNA from 1 species
UUGACGGUACCCUACUAGAAAGGAGCCGCUAACUUCGUGCCAGAAGCGUCGGUAAUACGGGGGCUCCAAGCGUUAUCCGGUGUUAUUGGGCGUAAAGAGUCGUGUAGGUGGUUGGGUAAGUUAUCUUUCAAAUAUCUUUGCUUAACAAAGAGGAGGGGGAUAAUACUGCUCGACUAGAAUUUUCUCAAGGGAGAUCGGAACUGAGGGAGGAGUAGUGAAAUGCGUUGAUACCCUCGGGAACACCAGUGGCGUAGGCGGAUCUCUGGGAGAAGAUUGACACUGAGACACGAAAGCUAGGGGAGCGAAGCAGAUUAGAGACCUGCGUAGUCCUAGCCGUAAACGCAUGCUUGCUAGCUGCAUGAACCUACCUUCGGGUGGUAUCGUGUGGCGAAGGUAACCCGUUAAGCAAGCCGCCUGGAAAGUACGGCCGCAAGGCUGAAAUUCAAAGGAAUUGGCGGGGAGGCACACAACCAGUGGAACAUGUGGUUUAAUUCGAGACUAACCGAAGAACCUCACCAGGGUUUGACAUGUAGCUGCACGUCUUAAGAAAUUAAGACUCUCUUGAAGGUGCUACACAGGUGCUGCAUGGCUGUCGUCAGCUCGUUCCGUGAGGAGUGCCCUUAAGUGGGACAACGAGCGCAACCCCUAUUACAUGUUAGAAAUGUCAUGUAAGACUGCCUUGCCAUUUGGCGGGGAGGAAGGAGGGGCAGACGUCAAGUCCGCAUGGUCCUUAUGCCCUGGGCUACACACAUGUUACAAUGAGUACGGCAAUGAGUCUGUCGCGAGCACGUAAGUGUAAGCUAAUCUCUUAAAUGUACUCUCAGUGGGGAUUGAGGUCUGCAACUCGACCUCAUGAACACGGAAUUGGUAGUAAUCGCGGGUCAGCUAUACCGCGGUGAAUACGUUCUUGCCUCUUGCACACACCGCCCGUCAAACCAGCAAAGUCGAUUGUA